rnacentral:rRNA from 1 species
AUUGAACGCUGGCGGCAGGCCUAACACAUGCAAGUCGAGCGAGCGGCGGACGGGAGAGUAAUGUAUGGGGAUCUGCCCGAUAGAGGGGGAUAACUACUGGAAACGGUGGCUAAUACCGCAUACUAUCGGAUGAACCCAUAUGGGAAUAGCUAGUAGGUGGGGUAACGGCUCACCUAGGCGACGAUCCCGAGCUGGUCUGAGAGGAUGACCAGCCACACUGGGACUGAGACACGGUCCAGACUCCUACGGGAGGCAGCAGUGGGGAAUAUUGCACAAUGGGCGCAAGCCUGAUGCAGCCAUGCCGCGUGUAUGAAGAAGGCCUUCGGGUUGUAAAGUACUUUCAGCGGGGAGGCGUUACUCGCAGAAGAAGCACCGGCUAACUCCGUGCCAGCAGCCGCGGUAAUUC